CAUAUUUCCAUUUCCACUAUAAAACAGAGAAACUUCCACCUAUCAUUUGACCCCAAAUCCUACUAUUCCAAAUGUCAUCCAAUGGGUGAAUUGCAACUAUUCCAAAGACAAGUUGGAUACUUAUCACUAGCUACACUAUUAAGGAUAAUUUUAACUAACAUUUCAACAUUAAUUAUAUUGAAUAUCAAUAUGUUUAUCAAUAUGCAAAAAGGACUCUAACAUCUUUAAACCUUCAUAAGCAUAAUUUAACCCAAAAUGUUUGCAAAAUAUUAUCAAUAAUCCAAAGUUCAUUCAGGAAUGCUAAACCAUAUACAUACAUAAUUUAUAACAAAUAUAAAUCUCAGCUACACAAAUAAAAUAAGAAUUUUCGAAGUUGAAUAUGAAAAGUAAGAAACUUUCACCAAAAUAAUUUACAGAGCUCAAUCUACUUAGAAUUUCACCCUAAUCCAAGAAUUAAAGUUGCUAAGGAUAAUUUUUAGAAAUUUUUAAAAAUAUAAAAACCCAUUUCUAGGCGGGUCUUAC
rnacentral:misc_RNA from 1 species